UGCCCAGCCACUCCUAUCCCUACCUCCUCGCGGUACUGGCCGGGGUACGAGUAACCUUAGGGAAGAUCGGGUAACCAACCCCCGGUGGGAACUUUGGUCGUAUGCUGACAGGGAAGG
rnacentral:ribozyme from 1 species